GAUGAUCCUUCUCUUUGUAUGAUCGAUAUUAGGAGGGCUUCGCAGUUCCGGAUGUGCCGAUGAGGUAGCUUGCAUUGGCUUUGACAUAUCAGACGACAUUGGCUUACUCUAAAUAUCUUGGGAGACUCUGAACAUCAGGACCAUGUGGACUAAACUUGCAUGUGGGUGCACCAAGGAGAAGGUCCCACUUAUCAAGGGAUAACAACUAAUUGGUCAGACUUUGUGAAGACAGGGGUUGGAUAAUUUGGAGAAUGUCUUUGCGUUCAAGGCUAAAAGGGGCAAAGUGUCGCUCGUUGUCUACCUGUUUUGACAAGAACUAUAUAGGUUCAUUGUGAGCGUUCGCUUGGACUUAUCUCACACCGUUGAUCUGGCUCGCUUUGGUUAUGUAAUAAGCCAACUAUUGUAUCUACUUAGUGUUGAUCCAUCAGCUUGGCUUACUUUUGGAACAUACUACGUAUUCCCCCAUUUGUCAUGAACUUUUAGAUCUAAUGUUUCAUGCUUCUGGUAUAUUUGAUGGCCUUACCUUUUGUCAUUGUUUGGACAAAUUGCUCUACACUGGACACUUAUGUAUCAAGGCAAUGCCAUGCUUCUGAUGCAACCUUAUUGUA